rnacentral:rRNA from 1 species
UACGGAGGGUGCAAGCGUUACGUCCGGAUUCGAUCAUGGGUUUAAAGGGUGCGUGAGGCGGGCAGGUAAGUCCGUGGUGAAAUCUCCAAGCUUAACUUGGAAACUGCCGUGGAUACUAUUUGUCUUGAAUAUAGUGGAGGUGAGCGGAAUAUGUCAUGUAGCGGUGAAAUGACUUAGUAUAUGACAUAGAACACCCAAUUCGCGAAGGCAGCUCGCUACACUAUUAUUGACGCUGAGGCACGAAAGCGUGGGGAGCAAACAGG